AUGGACGCCGGCGACCUCUCCAUCGUGCACCACAUCGGCCUCGUGCUGCUCGCGCUGUGGGCCGCCGCCUCCUUCGGCUGCUGCCACUCCGUCGUCUUCCUCAUCGCCUUCCUCUACCUAUACAUGGUAAAUGCCCGCUGCGCAAUGAGACUGCGGAAGCGAAUACAACAUGCGGAAAUGAAAUCUGCCUACCAGCGAAGACUGCUUUCUGAUGGAGAAUCAGUACGUUGGUUAAAUCAUGCAGUCAAAAAGAUGUGGCCUAUCUGUAUGGAGAAGAUUGUUUCACAACUUUUACGGCCCAUCAUACCGUGGUUCUUGGAUAAGUUCAAACCUUGGAUAGUUAGUAAAGCAAGUGUCCAGGAGCUUUACAUGGGUAGGGAUUCACCAAUAUUUACCACGAUGAGAGUUCUGCCUGAGACAUCAGAUGAUGACCAUUUGGUUUUGGAGCUAGGGAUGAACUUCCUAUCUGCUGAAGAUAUGAGUGUUGUGCUUGCCAUGCAGCUGCAUAAGAGUGUGGGACUUGGAAUGACCGCAAACAUGCAUUUGACUAGGAUGCAUGUCGAAGGAAAGGUUUUACUUGGUGUGAAGUUUGUUCGGAGUUGGCCAUUUCUUGGCCGUCUAAGACUAUGCUUUGUGGAGCCUCCUUAUUUUCAAAUGACGGUAAAACCACUCGUUGGCCACGGACUUGAUGUUACCGAGUUUCCAGGAAUUUCAGGAUGGCUGGAUAAGUUGAUGGAUACUGCAUUUGGGCAGACAUUAGUUGAGCCCAAUAUGCUUGUCAUCAACAUGGAAAAGUUCUCAUCUACUCCUUCUGAAAAUAACUGGUUCAACAUUGAGGAGAGACCUCCUGUUGCAUAUGUGAAACUUGAGAUUUUGGAAGGGCUUGACAUGAAACCAGCUGAUAUAAACGGGCUGUCGGACCCUUAUGUCAGAGGUCGUAUUGGUCUUUUUAAAUUCCAAACUCAAAUACAGAGGAAAACAUUAUCUCCUAAAUGGUUUGAGGAAUUCAAGAUACCCAUCACGUCGUGGGAAGCAUCAAAUGAACUUGUUAUGGAAGUUCGCGAUAAGGACCACAUGUUUGAUGACUCGCUUGGAGAAUGUACCGUAGACGUAAAUGAACUGAGAGGUGGACAAAGACAUGACAAAUGGAUAUCGCUGAAGAAUGUCAAGAAAGGAAGGAUCCACCUGGCUAUAACGAUUGAAGAUGUAUCAGAGGAGACGGAGGCAACAACGAGUUUGGAAGAAUCACCGGCGAAAACUGAUGCGAAACUGCCACUGCCCACCUCUGCUGAUAGCAAGUCGGAUGCUGCUAAGCUGCUUCAAGAAAGGAAAGUCAUAAUGGAUGAAGUUGAGCACAUUGACUUUGAUGGACAAGAGCAACCUGGAGGGGUAUAUGUACAUCGCCCUGGCACUGGAGUUCCCCAGACAUGGGAAUCCCGGAAAGGGCGGGCGCGCAAUCCAGACACGGAGAUCCUCCAAGAGGUUGACAUAUCAAAGGAAGCCCCUCCUGCUCCUACCCCAAAGAGUGGUCGUGGCGGUAUGUUCAAUAUGGGCUCAUUUUUCCGGAGGAACUCGAAGAAGUCUCGCGAUCUUGAUCCUAUCAUCCCCACAAGUCCUGGUCCUCAGAGUGCACCAGAGCUUGAUCCGAACCUCCCGCGGACCCCGCGUCAAGGUUCGCCGGAUCUUGAUCCGAAGCUCCCCCGAACCCCACGUCCCAACCUGAAGGAGCUUGGCGAGAAGCGGACAUCGAUAAAGAUUGUCGUGAGCGACGAUGCAACCAAAGGAGGAGACGCGGGAAGUUUGACAGAAGACAUGGCGAAGGUGGUGGAGAAGAACGCAGGGGAGCCGGGCAGAUCACUGACAAGCACACUGAGCAGGAAGAUCUCCAUGAAGAGACGGGACGAUGUCCCUGAGCAGGCCGAUGCUUAUGGACGUGAGGUGGUGGUGAACGAAGGGCCUGUUACAAUAGAGGGUAAGCCGAUGGAUGUCCAUCCGACAACGGAAGAUGGCAAUGUGCAGGAUGUGGCCGUGGAAGCAGAAAACACUACUACUCGGACUUCAUAG
rnacentral:rRNA from 1 species